UGUCACAGGCUUCCGGCUUAGGACAGCGGACUGGGGAAGGGGCGGCUGGCGCCAUGUCGGGCCGCGAAGGUGGCAAGAAAAAGCCCCUGAAACAGCCCAAGAAGCAGACCAAGGAGAUGGAUGAGGAGGAUAAGGCUUUCAAGCAGAAACAGAAGGAGGAACAGAAGAAACUCGAGGAGCUGAAAGCGAAGGCCGCGGGGAAGGGACCCCUGGCCACAGGUGGAAUUAAGAAAUCUGGCAAAAAGUAAGCUGUUCCAUAGUCCUGAGAAGAUGGUACCCCUCGUUCAUUCCUAUUUAAACAUCUGGAUUUCCUGUCAUUGUUAACAUCUUUUGCCACCUGUAACUAGAAUGAAGUGUUGUCUUGGGGUCUGGUGUACAUUACAAUAAACUUUUGUAAAAAAAAAACAAAAACAAAAAAAAACCCCUACCAAUCAUACAGUGGCUCAUUGUCUCCAGCUUUCAUUCAGCCAUUCCUACCUCAGGUGUGAACUCAAAAUAAACCCAGUCUCGCAUCCAGA